CCACCGGUCUUUAGUGUGACAUUCAGGAAAUGCUAAUACUUAAUGGUGAGGUCAUUGAUACCUCAGUGCUUGAUACACGGCAGAGAGGAGGCACAUAGCAGCAGUAGGGAUUCAACUGCCGUUGGAUGAGGAGUUUAUCGGCGUAUGAAGAAGGAAACGAUAUAAUUUUUUUACCGACAUUAUUCAGCGGGUCUCUCUGAUGCUUCGCUGUUUGUUGCUGUUUAUUCAUCCUACCAAAAGAGAAGGAAAAAUAAAACACUACAUUUUAAAUCAGCCGAACUUCUGACAGCCUUUACAACAGGAGCCAUGGUGGCAGCAGUCCUUAAAUUGUAUUUUAUUGGAACGGCUCUGAGUGUCCUUGCUGUCUUUUAUGUCAUCGUGGACUCCUUUGGUGGUCUGAUGUACGUCCAGGACGAUCACUACACAACAGACCAGCAGACACAGAGACAGAUCUCUUCGGAUCAGCAGACACAGAGACAGAUCUCCUCAGGCCACAACAGGAAACGAUCACCUGUCACCAAAAACAUUGACUAAUAAGGAGAACCUUGAGGUCACAAUGAAGUUUUGUGGCAAUGAUUGUCCAAUCGCUGUGGAUUAUAAAUAUCCUGCUUCCAUUCCUAAGUAUGGACAUUAUGAUAAUGUCUAACCUACAGGACGUGUACUGGAUUAGACACUUGUCUUUGUUAGAGCAGCUCUACAACCAAUGAUACAUGUAACGGUACUACUGAACAAUGAUUUGCACUAAAAAUUAGAGUUUGUAUAUUUAUUAUGUGAAAUUUAAGAGUUGUUUUUUUUUUCAAAUAAAGUCAUUUUUAAAUGUUUGAAA